CCGCGGUUACCAUUCGGACCAUAAAGGUUACGUAAGUUGCAAUCAAUGGACUAAACAAGUACUGUUGUGGGUUUUAGCAAAAAAAAAAAUAUUGUUGUGGGUCACCAAAACUUGUCACACCACUACAAAGCAUCAAAGCCCCAAUACACAACAACUCUUUUUUAACCAAUUUAUUUCUCUAAACUUUCUAAUUAAAUAUGAUAUGACUCAUUUCCAAACAAGCAAGCUUUCCUGCUGAUCAUGGACCAUCCUGCUGAUCAUGGACCACCUCUUCUUCCCUCACUGACUCAUCCUUCAAAGUUCAUACAGAACAACAUCAAUUCCACAGAAAGAAAGAAAAACAAUGAUAAAUUGCUCAAGAGAACACAUGGAAAGGAUCGUAUACUGUAACUCACAUAACGAGACUCUCAGAAACAUAUCCAAACAUUUACUAUAGUAAACAUCUAGUUAGCAACUCAUAUACUCGAAAACUACAAAGCUUAUUGUAACCAGGACAGAGUUCUCAAAAACCAUAAGAACAAUAUAUUGAACAAUCAACCAACCAAACUUAAGAAUGCAGUUAUCCAAACAACUUAACUUACUAAUGAAUUAAUGCCACAUCUCCCAUUUAUGUUCAAGCACAGCUCAAGCUUAGACAAGCUCUGACUCCUUCACAAAUGAAACGCUAUCUCACACCAACAAGAUCACUAAUCUCGUACUUCAUAUCAAGUUAGAGCUUUGCAUCUCACAAAGCCUAAUUUCAUCAAAAAGGACAUAAAAAGUAAAUACCUUUUGCUCAUUUUCACGAAUCGAGUUGGAAAAAAACCGUUUACUUCUGGUACUAUGCCCGAACCGGUUCAUAAAUAGAAGAGGAAGAAUCUUUGAUAAACUAUAAAGAAACCACAUGCAUGAUCAAUUUACAAGCUAGUAACUGUUCAUGUUGUUUGGAUGAAUAUGUACAGCUCUA
rnacentral:lncRNA from 1 species